ACGGGAGCGGUGGUCAAUGUGCUUUAUCAGAGUACUAUAGACAAACCGCCACCUGGUGGGUAAACCUGACCAGCAUCCACAGUAUCCAUCACAUCACUAUAUACUUCGCGACGGACAACUUUGGAUGUCCAGUAACAGGGUUUUACGGAUCUAACUGCUCCAUUCCGUGUCCUGAUGUCAACUGUCAGUACUGCCACAUAGAGACGGGCACCUGUCAGGGAUGUAAACCUGGGUAUCAAGGUUAUCACUGUGAAUUAGCAUGUCCUUUUGGCUAUUUUGGAAGUAAAUGUACUGAACGAUGCAAUGUCACAUGUGCCGGAUGUAAUAAUGUGAAUGGCGUUUGCGACUCUGGAUGCAUUCCUGGCUGGAGAGGUUAUCACUGCAACGAAGA